rnacentral:rRNA from 1 species
UACGUAGGGGGCUAGCGUUGUCCGGAAUCAUUGGGCGUAAAGCGCGUGUAGGCGGCCCGGUAAGUCCGCUGUGAAAGUCGGGGGCUCAACCCUCGGAUGCCGGUGGAUACUGUCGGGCUAGAGUACGGAAGAGGCGAGUGGAAUUCCUGGUGUAGCGGUGAAAUGCGCAGAUAUCAGGAGGAACACCGAUGGCGAAGGCAGGUCUCUGGGCCAUAACUGACGCUGAGAAGCGAAAGCAUGGGGAGCGAACAGG